rnacentral:rRNA from 1 species
GAUUGAACGCUGGCGGCAGGCCUAACACAUGCAAGUCGAGCGGCAGCGGGGGGAAGCUUGCUUCCCCGCCGGCGAGCGGCGGACGGGUGAGUAAUGUCUGGGGAUCUGCCUGAUGGAGGGGGAUAACUACUGGAAACGGUAGCUAAUACCGCAUGACGUCGCAAGACCAAAGUGGGGGACCUUCGGGCCUCACGCCAUCGGAUGUGCCCAGAUGGGAUUAGCUGG